rnacentral:rRNA from 1 species
UACGGGGGCAAGCGUUUGUUCGGAAUUACUGGGCGUAAAGGGCGCGUAGGCGGUGCUCUAAGUCGGAUGUGAAAACUCUGGGCUCAACCCAGACCUGCAUCCCGAAACUGGAGUGCUAGAGUUCUUGGAGGGGGAGCGGAAUUCCCUGGUGUAGCGGUGAAAUGCUAGAUAUCAGGGAGGAACACCCGGGUGGGCCAAGGCGG